rnacentral:rRNA from 1 species
UACGUAGGGACCAAGCGUUGUUCGGAUUUACUGGGCGUAAAGGGCGCGUAGGCGGCGUGGUAAGUCACUUGUGAAAUCUCUGAGCUUAACUCAGAACGGUCAAGUGAUACUGCUGUGCUAGAGUGCGGAAGGGGCAAUCGGAAUUCUUGGUGUAGCGGUGAAAUGCGUAGAUAUCAAGAGGAACACCUGAGGUGAAGACGGGUUGCUGGGCCGACACUGACGCUGAGACGCGAAAGCGUGGGGAGCGAACAGG